rnacentral:rRNA from 1 species
UGGGGAAUAUUGCACAAUGGGGGAAACCCUGAUGCAGCGACGCCGCGUGAGCGAAGAAGUAUUUCGGUAUGUAAAGCUCUAUCAGCAGGGAAGAAACUGACGGUACCUGACUAAGAAGCACCGGCUAAAUACGUGCCAGCAGCCGCGGUAAUACGUAUGGUGCAAGCGUUAUCCGGAUUUACUGGGUGUAAAGGGAGCGUAGACGGAUAGGCAAGUCUGGAGUGAAAGCCCGGGGCUCAACCCCGGGACUGCUUUGGAAACUGUUUAUCUAGAGUGCUGGAGAGGUAAGUGGAAUUCCUAGUGUAGCGGUGAAAUGCGUAGAUAUUAGGAGGAACACCAGUGGCGAAGGCGGCUUACUGGACAGUAACUGACGUUGAGGCUCGAAAGCGUGGGGAGCAAACA